rnacentral:rRNA from 1 species
AUUGAACGCUGGCGGAAUGCUUUACACAUGCAAGUCGAGCGGCAGCGCGGGGCAACCUGGCGGCGAGCGGCGAACGGGUGAGUAAUGUAUCGGAACGUGUCCUGUCGUGGGGGAUAGCCCGGUGAAAACCGGAUUAAUACCGCAUACGAUCGAGAGAUGAAAGUGGGGGACCGCAAGGCCUCACGCGAUAGGAGAGGCCGAUAUCUGAUUAGCUAGUUGGUGGGGUAAAGGCCCACCAAGGCUUCGAUCAGUAGCUGGUCUGAGAGGAUGAUCAGCCACACUGGUACUGAGACACGGCCCAGACUCCUACGGGAGGCAGCAGUGGGGAAUUUUGGACAAUGGGGGCAACCCUGAUCCAGCCAUUCCGCGUGAGGGAAGAAGGCCUUCGGGUUGUAAAGCUCUUUUGUCCGGGAAGAAACGGUUUCACCUAAUACGUGAGACUAUUGACGGUACCGGAAGAAUAAGGACCGGCUAACUACGUGCCAGCAGCCGCCGUAAGAC